ACAACGUUCGCAUCCAACUGACAUAAGAAAAGCGGCUCAUCUCGUGUCAACAAAAACGCGGAUUUCUUUUCAGUCCCACCCACCACCCACACACGCAACCAUGUGGUUCACUGUGCUGAGAGUGUAGUGUGAGCACACACUGUGCGUUCCUCUGCCCAGGCGUUGCUGACGCAUUUCAGAUCUUACAACGCAUGGACAGGCCUACAGGUCGAGAGUGGUGGCUGAUGGGAGGGGCUAAUAGAAACACAUGGAAAGAAUGAAUGGAACUGUAUCCAACAUCAAACAAAUCAUUUCCAUGUGUUUCAUACCAUUGCACGGAUCCCAUUCUAGCCAUUACUAUGAGCCGACAUCCCCUAACCAGUCUCCUCUUCUUUCAGGGAUGUGCUUGUCGUGACUUCUGAUGAAUAAAGAUAUUGUACAAAGAUAUUGUGGAAAAUAGGGAAGAAAAUCAUGUAUUUUAUUUUUUAUUUAUUUACACAAAGCCACACUGGGACACUUUGGACUCCUUGAGAUCCACAACUAGUGACUUCUCAGGCCCUCAAAGGCUUACCUUUAAUGAAUUGGACCUGGAGUUCCCAUCAGCUCAAAAUGAUUGGUUUUCAUAUCGUAUAAAGCCGUUCUUUCUUUUUAAACAGUCUUUAUGAAGAGCUGUCAUUUUAUUGUGAGGAACUGUAGUUUUAUCAGAUAUUUAUUCUGUUUUGUGAGUGAUAUUUCUUGUUGAAGAUAAGGUAGAAAAUAUUGUAGAAUAUAAGGUAGAAGAUAUUGUAGGAGAUAAGGUAGAAUAUAUUGUAAAAGAUAAGGUAGAAUAUAUUAUAGGAGCUAAGGUAGAAUAUAUUGUAGAAGAUAAGGUAGAAUAUAUUAUAGGAGCUAAGGUAGAAUAUAUUGUAGAAGGUAGAGUAUAUUGUAGGAGAAAAGGUAGAAUAUAAGUUAGAAGAUAUUGUAGGAGAUAAGGUAGAAUAUAUUGUAGAAGAUAAGGUAGAAGUUAUUGUAGGAGAUAAGGUAGAAGAUAAGAUAGAAUAUAAGGUAGAAUAUAUUGUAGAAGAUAUUGUAGGAGAUAAGGUAGAAGAUAAGGUAGAAGAUAUUGUAGAAGAUACUGUAGGAGAUUAAGGUAGAAGAUAAGGGAGAAGAUAUUGUAGGAGAUAAGGUAGAAGAUAAGGUAGAAGAUAUUGUAGAAGAUAUUGUAGAAGAUACUGUAGGAGAUUAAGGUAGAAGAUAAGGGAGAAGAUAUUGUAGGAGAUAAGGUAGAAGAUAUUGUAGGAGAUAUGGUAGGAGAUAAGGUAGAAGAUAUUGUAGGAGAUAAGGUAGGAGAUAAGGUAGAAGAUAUUGUAGGAGAUAAGGUAGGAGAUAAGGUAGAAGAUAUUGUAGGAGAUAUGGUAGGGGAAAGGUAGUAAAUAAGGUAGAAGAUAUGGUAGGAUAUAAGGUAGGAGAUAAGGUAGAAGAUAUUGUAGGAGAUAUGGUAGGAGAUAAGGUAGAAUAUAUGGUAGGAGAUAAGGUAGGAGAUAAGGUAGAAGUUAUUGUAGGAGAUAUGAUAGGAGAUAAGGUAGGAGAUAAGGUAGAAGAUAUUGUAGGAGAUAAGGUAUGCACAUGUUACUGUAAGUCUCUUUGGAUAAAAGUGUCAAGUAAAUAACAUAUAUUAUUAUGAUUAUUAAAAUAAUAAUGAAAUAUCAGACAGAGGAGUACCUGCCUAGAUAAAUGUCUCACCUGUAUGGAAUGAAUCGCAGUUAUCCCAUCUUACUGUGUACCCCAGGUAAGACUGUCAACCACAGACCAUAUCAGUUCUAUAUCUAUGCUGUCAACGGUCAACCAAUCCACAUAAGUGAAUUGAUCUGGGGCCGUAUGUAUCAAGUGCUAAUCUAAGAUCAGUUCUAAGACACUUUAUGAAUACAGGUCCCGAUAGUUAAAAUAUAUCUGAGGCCUGUUUUUAGGGACUAAAUCUAUGAUGUAUGAAUCAUUUAUCCUAAGGGCAGAAUUCAGCUCAGCAGUUGACUGUUUUUCUAGACUCUCUCCACUAGAUGGCGGUCUUAGUAGGGGCUACUGUUUACUUCGAGAAACGCUAAUGGCUGUUCAUCUUGAGUUUACACAAGACAACAAACAGUAAAAACAUAAAAAUACCUUGGAUAACUGAGACAAGAAAGGUUAUACUUCAUUGGAUAUUGAUAUAGCCUCCCAAAUGGACUUGCAGUGCUACAUGGUUAUAUUAAAUGUGUUUUGUGUGUGAGGGUAUCACUAUGGAUCAGGGAUUGAACCCUCUUUGACCUUCGUCAUGGUCAUUGGAUAUCUUUAUUUGUAUUUAUUCUUUAUUUAUUUAGGCAGGGAGUUCCAUUGAGACUAAGGCCUCUGUUGGAAGAUGAUGUAAAACAUUACAGUAUAUUCAUACCUCUUCCCUCAGUUGGCGUGAUGAACCAAUGGGACAUGUUGACUACCUGACUGAGACUAUGAGGCAUACAAUAAACAUGGUAGCAUUUAAUAACUACCUUUCAUUCA